rnacentral:lncRNA from 1 species
GGUUCCCGCGCGGCGCUCCAAAGCUCGGGGAGUGGUGGUCUCCCUUUCCUGGAGUCAUUUGUGGGAGUUAGGGUCUUAUCCUGAUCUUUCCUCGUCCCCCGCUCCCCCGUCCUCCGAGGUGGCAGCUGCGUAGGUGAACGUUCCCCCUGUCCCCUUCCUUCUCCUUCCUAACCCGAGUACGCUUGCUCGCGGCCACAGUGGCUGCCUGCCCCAGGAGCGGGGAGUCCCUGCCUUUGGGGUAGGGAAAUGACUGAAAUGUGGGACCUGCGGGCUCCUCGGGCUGACUUGGACCUCACUGCAGCUCUGGAGGUGGACCUCGUCCUGGGACCCUAGAAGCCCAUUUCCGCACUCGGGCUAGGCCUUCGGAGCCGCGGCAGCAUAGUGGGAGGAGUCGGGCUCAGCUCCCCCCCACCACAACCGGGAUUAUUUUUAUCGGUUGAGUCAUCGCACUACCUUUCAUCCUUGUGGCUUUGGGCAAGUCCCCGCCCUCCGAGCCUCACUUUGCUUAUCUGUGAAUGGAAAUAACAGUGCCUACCCCAUGGGCUAUCGGGAGGAUCAGUUGUGAGGGAAUGCAGUGUGGGGUGUCUGGCCGGCAGAAUUCCACAAAUGAAGUCUGGAACGUUUUUUCUUAGAGUUCCAGAAUUGAGACUGAAGUGUACCCAGAGACACAAAGAAAUACAGAAGUCCAGAAUGAUCAAAUGAGAUCACUACCCAAUGAAAUGAUGGGCCGAGGAGCCAGAAGUUGUCCUACUACCUGCUUUCCAGGUCCAGAUUCCACGAGAGCCUUCUGGGCUCCCACCAGAGACCCUCAGUGAAGACUCUGUUGAAGACUUUAAGACCAUGCUAGAAAGCCUCCCGGCAGAGGUUCAGGAAGUUCUGCUAUGAGGAUGCAGCUGGCCCCAGGGAUGUCCUCAGGCAUCUCUAGGACCUUGCUGGACGGUGGUGGCUG